rnacentral:rRNA from 1 species
GAUGAACGCUAGCGGCAGGCUUAAUACAUGCAAGUCGAGGGGCAGCACGGGUAGCAAUACCUGGUGGCGACCGGCAAACGGGUGCGGAACACGUACGCAACCUUCCCAUAACUGGUGAAUAGCCCUCCGAAAGGAGGAUUAAUACACCGUAACUUAACGAAGUGGCAUCACUUUGUUAAUAUAGGCUUCGGCCGGUUUUGGAUGGGCGUGCGCCUGAUUAGGUAGUUGGCGGGGUAACGGCCCACCAAGCCUGCGAUCAGUAACUGGUGUGAGAGCACGACCAGUCACACGGGCACUGAGACACGGGCCCGACUCCUACGGGAGGCAGCAGUAAGGAAUAUUGGUCAAUGGACGAAAGUCUGAACCAGCCAUGCCGCGUGAAGGAUUAAGGCCCUCUGGGUUGUAAACUUCUUUUAUCUGGGACGAAAAAGGGUAUUCUUACUCACUUGACGGUACCAGAGGAAUAAGCACCGGCUAACUCCGUG